GAGAAUUAACCCUUGUCCUGAAUCCUACAUCACAACAACCCAAGGAUCUAGUAGUUAGAGGAGGAGGAAAAAAUGUUUAACUGUGUAGCAGCUGCAAUAGCUUAUGGACCUGGUGUUUUCUGUGGUUUGGUGAUCGGAUACAUCUUUUCUUCACACAAGCAAGAAUGGUUCGCUGAAAAGUUUGGUCCCAAAAAAAAAAAAAGUCAUAGUCACCCCAAGUGUUCGCUAAACCCAUUUCUUGUAGUCUCUAUGCCUUUGUGAAGCAUUGUGUAACGUCUUGUUCAUAUUUGUAUUGAAUUUUUCAGGUGUGUCCUCCAAAAGACUCGUUUGUGUUGUACUUUUCUAUUGUAUGAGUUGUAAUAAACGUAUAUGGUGGUGUUUAAUACAUCUUGGCUUGUUGCACAUCAGGACUAAUUAAUAGAUGCAGUUUAGAAUUAAAAUCAUUAUUUUUAGUUUUUUUCUUACUUUAGUCAAGGUUAAUGC